ACAGCCACAUCACAUUGAAACACUGAUUUCCAUAAUCGCCAAAGUUAAGCAACACUGAGUUUGGUCAGUACCUCGAUGGGUGACUUCAUGGGAAUACCAGGUGCUGUAAG